GGAAGGGCAACCCCGGGCAGCCACCAGGGGUGAAGCAGCAUCUGGUUCAACCUGCACCGGAGAUGCCCAGCCUGCAGCCCGUCGUCGCCGUCCCAGGGAUGCCCGCGGGCCUGCCACGGGCGGGGGCACGGCCCCGCGCCCCCGUGGGGAGAGAAGGGGGUGCCGAGGCUGUCCAGCUGUCGGUCCACGCCUUUCUCGCGAGCUGGCUCUUUCCCAACGAGACCCGACCCGAGAGCCGGCAGCCCGAGUCACACCGGUGCGCGGAACUACCCCCGCGGCGGCCGCCGCACUCACCGCACACCAUCAGCAGCAGGACGAUCAGCAGCGUCGCCACGAACACCAGCAGCGUCAGCCCGACGUUGUGCCACAUCUUGGGCGGAGGGUAGUCGCCUCAAGGCGGCGGGCGCGGCGGCGGCAGCGGACAGGCGCGAGCGGGCUUCAGUGGCGGGCGCCGGGCGCGGCGAAGCGCCGGGGCGGCAUGGGCGGCG
rnacentral:lncRNA from 1 species